rnacentral:rRNA from 1 species
CCUACGGGUGGCAGCAGUGAGGAAUAUUGGUCAAUGGACGCAAGUCUGAACCAGCCAUGCCGCGUGCAGGAUGACGGCUCUAUGAGUUGUAAACUGCUUUUGUACGAGGGUAAACCCUGCUACGUGUGUCGGGUUUAAAGUAUCGUACGAGUAAGGAUCGACUAACUCCGUGCCAGAAGCCGCGGUAAUACGGAGGCUCCGAGCGUUAUCCGGAUUUAUUGGGUUUAAAGGGUGCGUAGGCGGGUUGAUAAGUUAGAGGUGAAAGGUCGGGGCUCAACCCCGAAACUGCCUCUAAUACUGUUGGACUAGAGAAUAGUUGCGGUAGGCGGAAUGUAUGGUGUAGCGGUGAAAUGCUUAGAGAUCAUACAGAACACCGAUUGCGAAGGCAGCUUACCAAACUAUAUCUGACGUUGAGGCACGAAAGCGUGGGUAGCAAACAGGAUUAGAUACCCGUGUAGUC